rnacentral:rRNA from 1 species
UACGUAGGGGGCGAGCGUUGUCCGGAAUCAUUGGGCGUAAAGCGCGCGUAGGCGGCCCGGUAAGUCCGCUGUGAAAGUCCAGGGCUCAACCCUGGAAGCCGGUGGAUACUGCCGGGCUAGAGUCCGGGAGAGGCGAGUGGAAUUCCUGGUGUAGCGGUGGAAUGCGCAGAUAUCAGGAGGAACACCUAAGGCGAAGGCAGCUCGCUGGAACGGUACUGACGCUGAGGCGCGAAAGCGUGGGGAGCAAACAGG